rnacentral:rRNA from 1 species
UACGUAGGGGGCUAGCGUUGUCCGGAAUCAUUGGGCGUAAAGAGCGUGUAGGCGGCCCGGUAAGUCCGCUGUAAAAGUCAAAGGCUCAACCUUUGAAUGUCAGUGGAUACUGUCGGGCUAGAGUCCGGAAGAGGCGAGUGGGACUCCUGGUGUAGCGGUGGAAUGCGCAGAUAUCAGGAAGAACACCAACGGCGAAGGCAGCUCGCUAGGACGGUACUGACGCUGAGACGCGAAAGCGUGGGGAGCGAACAGG